AGAACGAACGCUGGCGGCAGGCCUCAAACAUGCAAGUCUAGGGGGUGUAGCAAUACAUCACCGGCGGACGGGUGCGUAACACGUGGGAAUGUACCUAUUGGUUCGGAACAACGCAGGGAAACUUGCGCUAAUACCGAAUGUGCCCGAAAGGGGAAAGAUUUAUCGCCAAUAGAUCAGCCCGCGUAGGAUUAGCUAGUUGGUGAGGUAAUGGCUCACCAAGGCUCCGAUCCUUAGCUGUUCUGAGAGGAAGAUCAGCCACACUGGGACUGAGACACGGCCCAGACUCCUACGGGAGGCAGCAGUUGGGAAUCUUGGACAAUGGGCGAAAGCCUGAUCCAGCCAUGCCGCGUGAGUGAUGAAGGCCUUCGGGUUGUAAAACUCUUUCGACGGGACGAUAAUGACGGUACCCGUAGAAGAAGCUCCGGCUAACUUCGCGCCAGCAGCCGC
rnacentral:rRNA from 1 species